CUCAUACUAUAUGGAACGUUCUUUUUAGCGCUCGUGAAGUAAUUACUUAUUCAAAAUACGUACUCAAGUGAGUAUGUGAUUUUGGACGCAGCCGAAAAGUCCAUCAGGUCGCACCAGAAGUAGCAGGCCCUCCUCACUGAAAUGAGUUACACAUAAAAGCCGUUCUGAGAAACACAGUGGAAGAGGCACUGCCUCCCUUGCCUCCUCGGAGAAAACGCCC